rnacentral:rRNA from 1 species
AUUGAACGCUAGCGGCAUGCCUUACACAUGCAAGUCGAACGAGUGGCGGACGGGUGAGUAAUAUAUCGGAACGUGCCUAGUAGCGGGGGAUAACUACUCGAAAGGGUGGCUAAUACCGCAUACUAUUGGAUCGGCCGAGAUGGGAUUAGCUAGUUGGUGGGGUAAAGGCUCACCAAGGCGACGAUCCGUAGCUGGUUUGAGAGGAUGACCAGCCACACUGGAACUGAGACACGGUCCAGACUCCUACGGGAGGCAGCAGUGGGGAAUAUUGCACAAUGGGCGCAAGCCUGAUGCAGCCAUGCCGCGUGUGUGAAGAAGGCCUUCGGGUUGUAAAGCACUUUCAGCGGGGAGGCGUUACUCGCAGAAGAAGCACCGGCUAACUCCGUGCCAGCAGCCGCGGUAAUUC